UACGGAGGGGGCUAGCGUUGUUCGGAAUUACUGGGCGUAAAGCGCGCGUAGGCGGCUUUGUAAGUUAGAGGUGAAAGCCCGGAGCUCAACUUCGGAAUUGCCUUUAAGACUGCAUCGCUUGAAUCAUGGAGAGGUCAGUGGAAUUCCGAGUGUAGAGGUGAAAUUCGUAGAUAUUCGGAAGAACACCAGUGGCGAAGGCGACUGACUGGACAUGUAUUGACGCUGAGGUGCGAAAGCGUGGGGAGCGAACCGG
rnacentral:rRNA from 1 species